ensembl:miRNA
UGUUGUUGUCCAGAGCCCUUUUACCGUUGUGCUACUGUGGAAUCAGACGAGCAGUGCAAUAUUAAAAGGGCAUUGGCUGACAA